UGCGUAGGUGGGCAGGUAAGUCAGUGGUGAAAUCCUGUAGCUUAACUACAGAACUGCCAUUGAUACUAUUUGUCUUGAAUACCCUGGAGGUGAGCGGAAUAUGUCAUGUAGCGGUGAAAUGCUUAGAUAUGACAUAGAACAUCUAUUGCGAAGGCAGCUCACUACGGGAAUAUUGACGCUGAGGCACGAAAGCGUGGGGAUCAAACA
rnacentral:rRNA from 1 species